rnacentral:rRNA from 1 species
AUUGAACGCUGGCGGCAGGCCUCACACAUGCAAGUCGAGCGAGCGGCGGACGGGUGAGUAAUGUUUGGGGAUCUGCCCGAUAGCGGGGGAUAACUACUGGAAACGGUGGCUAAUACCGCAUACUAUCGGAUGAACCCAUCUGGGAUUAGCUAGUAGGUGGGGUAACGGCUCACCUAGGCGACGAUCUCUAGCUGGUCUGAGAGGAUGAUCAGCAACACUGGGACUGAGACACGGCCCGUACUCCUACGGGAGGCAGCUGUGGGGAAUAUGGCACAAUGGGCGAAAGCCUGAUGCAGCCAUGCCGCGUGGAUGAAGAAGGCCUUAGGGUUGUAAAGGACUUUCAGCGGGGAGGCGUUACCCGCAGAAGAAGCACCGGCUGACUCCGUGCCAGCAGCCGCGGUAAUAC